rnacentral:misc_RNA from 1 species
GAUGAAGAACGUAGCGAAAUGCGAUACGUAAUGUGAAUUGCAGAAUUCAGUGAAUCAUCGAAUCUUUGAACGCAUAUUGCGCUCUUUGGUAUUCCGAAGAGCAUGCUUGUUUGAGUAUCAGUAAACACCUCAACCUCUUCUUGAUUUUUCAAAAGGAGGGUGAACUUGAGCUAUCCCAACAACCUUUACCGGUCGGCGGGCGGCUUGAAAUGCAGGUGCAGCUGGACUUUUAUCUGAGCUAAAAGCAUAUCUAUUUAGUCCUCGUCAAACAGGAUUAUUACUUUUGCUGCAGCUAACAUAAAGGAUAAUUGUCCUCUUUGCUGACUGAUGCAGGAUUUUACGACACUUUAUGUGUUGUUCAACUCGAUCUCAAAUCAAGUAAGACUACCCGCUGAACUUAAGCAUAUCAAUAAGCGGAGGA